AACUUUGCACAGUGGCUGUAUCGUAACCAGUGAGGUUUAUCUGAGGUACAAUUAUUGCUGAUUGAAAAGUGUCCACUACACCAAAAGAACUUAAAAUGUAGUUGGCAUUGUCAAUGUUUGAGAGUCUCUGUGGAGA